rnacentral:rRNA from 1 species
UGGGGAAUAUUGCACAAUGGGCGCAAGCCUGAUGCAGCGACGCCGCGUGAGGGAUGACGGCCUUCGGGUUGUAAACCUCUUUCAGYAGGGRAGAAGSCCUUCGGGUUGACGGUACCUGCAGAAGAAGCGCCGGCUAACUACGUGCCAGCAGCCGCGGUAAUACGUAGGGCGCAAGCGUUGUCCGGAAUUAUUGGGCGUAAAGAGCUCGUAGGCGGUUUGUCGCGUCUGCUGUGAAAACGCGAGGCUCAACCYCGCGCCUGCAGUGGGUACGGGCAGACUAGAGUGCGGUAGGGGAGACUGGAAUUCCUGGUGUAGCGGUGGAAUGCGCAGAUAUCAGGAGGAACACCGGUGGCGAAGGCGGGUCUCUGGGCCGUUACUGACGCUGAGGAGCGAAAGCAUGGGGAGCGAACAGGAUUAGAUACCCUGGUAGUCCAUGCCGUAAACGUUGGGCACUAGGUGUGGGACCCAUUCCACGGSUUCCGUGCCGCARCUAACGCAUUAAGYGCCCCGCCUGGGGAGUACGGCCGCAAGGCUA